UACAGAGGGGGCAAGCGUUGUUCGGAAUUACUGGGCGUAAAGGGCGCGUAGGCGGCCUUCUAAGUCGAACGUGAAAUCCCCGGGCUCAACCCGGGAACUGCGUCCGAUACUGGAAGGCUUGAAUCCGGGAGAGGGAUGCGGAAUUCCAGGUGUAGCGGUGAAAUGCGUAGAUAUCUGGAGGAAUACCGGUGGCGAAGGCGGCAUCCUGGACCGGCAUUGACGCUGAGGAGCGAAAGCUAGGGGAGCAAACGGG
rnacentral:rRNA from 1 species